CUAGUUCCUCAUCACCGUCCUCCUCCCGGUCCCUGUCCACCUCCGCCUCCACCUGGUGGUCCCAGAGGCGAUGAUUCCCCGUCGCCUCGGCCGCCGUAGAGCUCUGCGAGGCUGCCGCGGUGGUGGAGACUCCGUCCGCGUCAUCGAGACGCCGUAGCCCAAAUCAAGUGUUAAGUUCAGCGUGGAGGUGCCUCCCUUGAUAUGCCAGGAGUGCUACCAAACAACUCUUCUCGAGUACUCAAAGUGUUUCGAGGUACCAUUUCUAUGCUAAAACCUGUAUCAAAUGAAGAACAUUGGAAUUCGUGAGGACAAACAUUAUGCAAAGAGUUACAAAGCACAACCAGGAAUGUGGGUUUAUGCCAAAGCUUAACGACUACACGUUCAGUAAUCAUGAACUGCAGAUACAGAGUUCCCAACAAUGUCGCAGCGGGAGCUCGUCAAGAAGUGCAGAGGCUCAAGGCCUCUGUGUCUCAACUGCAGGCAGCCCUGCAGGAGCUGCAGAGUAGCGGGUUGCACUCGGAAGACGCCGGGAUCGGGGCUGCGGAAGCCAGGAAGGCCGACCUCAUGGCUAAGAAGGCCAAGCUGGACGAGACCCUAGCUGCAGCCCGCUAGUUCAGAGCACUGCUUCGGCAGUAGCUCCAGAAAGCCUUUGCGUCACAGGUUAGGGAUCAAAAGGCAGCACAAAACUGACUAGUUAUGUGGUACAAGCAAAUCGACUUUCAUUAGCUAGCUCAUUAGUCGCUUUGGAUUAAGGAUGCAAUGCAAGUGUGGCGCGCUAGUGGACAGUAACAUAGUAGUACAAAUGUAGUGUUACUUUUAGGCAAAUGUUGAGCAAAUUUUGAACUAAUGGAUGAGUUUCGUGGGACGAAGCGGGCUGCCACUUGCACUCCUCCUACUGAUGAAAUGAACUUCAAAUGACUCUACAUGCAGAUACAUGCUUUUUAUUUCAGUCUUGUUUAGAGGAGGCCCCGACGGCGUCGAGCUGCUGUUGCUGCGGGCACAGCGACGUCGGCGUGGUCGGGAUGGUCGCAGCCCUUCAAGAUUCUCAAUGGCGGCGUCUCGGCGUUGAUGGCAGAGUCGACGACGAGCAUCGGCGAGUAUAGGUUCAGAUCAUCCAUGAAUUGAUGGAGUAGGAGGACGAGCAGCAGCAGCAAAUCAGCCUGAUGAUGACGGGGUGCGGAAGGCAAUGGUGAUCAUGCUGAUGGCAUGAAGAAGGCUGAUGACCACAACCUGGACCUUUUGGCAUUUAGAGAUGGCAAACACAGGCGGCGUGGAGACAACAACCUGGACCACCCACCUCCCUUUCCUUUUUAAUUUUGGUUGUGGUGGUUGCAUCACCGUCACGGUCGCAAAUCAGUAUGUAGUGUGCUUGUGGAGUUGGGUCUGGACUGCAGUGUCCAUCCAGUAGUUUAGGUGUUGUUGCUGCUAGAUCCCAUGAUGCUCACCUAAGUUUUGUGUUAUGUAGAGGCCAACCUUUGUGAUCUUAUUUGUCGACACUUGUGUGAUCUCAUCUUACUUUGUGAUACAAGUUGUACUAUAUAUAUGUUUUUAUGGAUGA